rnacentral:misc_RNA from 1 species
GUGGAGGAGAACACAAAACUUCUAAAAGACCAUGUGCACUCCUAUAUGUUAUCCAAUUAAUUUUUACCCUUAUAUGUAUUUAUUAAUUUCCUUAUUCUAAUAUUCUAAUUUUUUAAUUUUAUUGUGAUUAUUGAAUUCCUAAGUUUACUUUAGGGUUUUUAUAAGUUUUGAAUUUCUAAUUUAAGUUUCCUAAUUAGAUAAAAGGCCACUAUUCUCUUGCUAAAAAUUAGGCAAUAAGUUUUUUCUUACUAAAAAAUAGGCAUUUCUUUUCCUAAUAAAAUUGAAUCCUAUCAUGUUUCUAUUGAUUUUUUUUUUCAUUUAAAACAAAUAAUUUAUAUUUGUUAAAAACAAUUUUUUUGAUAGUAAAAAACAAGACAUUAUUAUAAUUAACGUUUAUAUUGUAAGAAUUCAUAUCAUGAAGUGUUACGAAAUUUUUAUGGAUAUAAUUUGUUUGAAACUGGCUAAGCACAAACUACUUAGGCGGAGUUACAUUUCUAAUCUAAGCAACCAAAUUUUAAAAAAUUCCUCAAUAAAGAAAGAUAUCUUACAAUGCACAUAAAAAUUGGUAAGAAAAUAAUGACCUGAAGAAAUUAAAUUAAAAGCUCUAGCCUUGAUUCAUUAUAUUAAGUUGCUAUAACGUUUCUAAGCAUUUGUCAAGUAAAACUAAAAACAAAGAAAUAAUAGCUGCCAGAAUGGAAUAUUAUACUGCAAAGGUGGGUUUUUUUUUUUCUAAAAUGCGGCUCUAACUUUAUUUUAUCAAACUAAACUUGCCAAGUAAAUAUGUUCCUUAAUCUAGAAAAAUUGCCUUAUAUAUUACCUUUGAAUUCAUGGUUUUAGAUUUGGAUUAAAUAUCUUGUUCGGGAGGUUUAGAAAAAUAUACAUUUGAAUUUCAAUAAAAUCCAAGAUGAAUAUGAAGACUAAAAAAUGUAUGAAUUUGAAAUAAUGAUAUUGAAUAUAUUAUUUGAAGUUCAAAUUCAUCCUAACAAAGCAAUAAAGAAAUUUUAAAUUUGAGACUCGGAAAUUUUUUUCAUUAGCCAAACAAAAUAUUUUUAAAAUUAUGAAUUUCAAAUCCAAAUCCAUAUAUCUAAACACAAACUUAUAUAAUUGUAAGAUAUGAACCAGGUACUUUAAUAGGAAGAAAAAUAUCCCUGCCAAUCAACACACGUACAUGCGCACGAGUGCACACACAUAACACAUCAUAAAACAAUACUCUCACUCAGUAUAAGCAUACGUGCAAAUUUAAGUGAUUUUUCUAAAUUCAAAGAUUUUUUUUCUCUGAAAACACAAGAGCAAUAUUUUUUUUUUUCAUGUUAUAAUUAAAGUGAGAUAUCGUAAAAUCUCCAAGCAAUCAUGCUAGUUGAAGAGAAGUCAAUAGAGAAAAGUUUAAUACAUUAGAUUUAUUUCCACCAAAUUUUUUAUUUCAACCAAGUAAAAUCCAUACAAACAAACAAUCAACAUGGUCUCUACUAAUUAUAUGCACAUCAUAACCAUUUAUGAUCAGCUUAACAGCUAGAGGCACAAUAUAACCCAAGUAACAUGCAUGCAUGGGCCAUGGCUGGAGAUGAUAACUUGGGGACCUCCUCACAUGUAGAGAUCUAAAUCCAAUUUCAUUCGUUUAAGUUAUAAUGCAUCUAUCACUAGCAUGGAAAAAAUUAACUCCACAACUAAGUGACAUUUUAUGCUCUUCCCCUUAGUCCUUUUCUAAUACUAACUAAGCAAUGUCACAAUGUGAUAAAUCAUUUGUCAUUUCCACAAGUUACAUGACAUAGUAAGAGUUGUAAAAUUUGCACAAUGCAAGCCAAAGGAAACACACAUGCAAAAUUAAGAUAACAAUUAUAUUUCUAGCAAUAUUAUUAGUUCUAUCCCAGCACUCAGCUUUAUAGUUUCUCUCAAUGAUUUUUGCAGAAUCAUGCCAGAAAAAAAAAAAUUCAUGAAACUCUCAUAAGCUAAAUAAAUCGACUCCAUCAUAAAGGAUAAAGUGUGUCCCAUCGCACACGUAAAGGUAGAAUUAGUGGCAAGUGAGUCAAGUGACGCUGAUACAAGGCAGACUAAGAUAUUUGCUUUGCCAAAGAAAGCGCACCAUGUAAAAAUCAAAGGACUCAAACAACUAAAACUUGUGCUAUUAAUUUCUUGAAAGUAAAAUAUCUCACUUGUCAACCACCAAGCAGUAACAUAUAUAUUAUAUGUCUGCAUACGGAAUGGAUCCAUAAGAAGUGCCUUGGCUCUGAUUAGGCCAAUUGCCAACCACAUAGAGCUUCAACAUCACACCCACAGGAAUUUGUCACCCUCAAGCCACACAACUUCUCAUACUGUGAAAUGCAAACUACAAUAUGGUUUUGGAAACCAUGUCUAUUGUUGUAUAAGCACAUGAACAUCUCAGUGAAACUUGACUCCCUCAUAUUUAACAAAUAAAUAUUCUAUAAAUUAAUAAUUUCAUGUUUAACCAAUACCAUUUAUUGUUAUUCUUUAUCUGCUUAAGAUAGUAAUUUUAACUCAAUUCAACUAAACAUUAGUCGUACACUAGUUUGAGUUUAAUAUAUAAAUCCUUUUUUCCUCUAUCAUGCCUCCUCAGUAUUCAUGUUAUGCUAGUCCUCAUCCUUCUGCAUUCCUUAUUGUAUGAUAUUACUUCUAAAAGUAGCUACUACAAUAUCUUGCAGGUGAACCCAAUAUAGAAUGAAAAAGAAAGCAAAAGAAAUAGCAUUUUCAGCAGCAAACAAUUAUAAUCACAAUCAUGCAAAGUGAAGAUACAAUUUUAGUGAUUUGAGACCGAACAUAUAAUAUGAAACUCAAAAACUAAAAGGUAAUCUUACUUUUACAACAAGCUUCAAUUUAGAAUCGCCAUUGUAUCCAAAAUUAAUGGUUCAUGAAGAUGUUAAACAAAAGCUUGACUGAAGAAAUUUUUAAAAGAAUAGGCUUACUAGACAAACUCUAGUUACUAAUACCUUGUAAUUAAUACACGAAGACAUAUUUAGACAGCAUAAGAAAUCAGGAAUAUACUACUAGCUUCAUCGUAUUUAUUUGAUAUCAUGAAAAAGUCCUCAGAAAAGAGGGAUAAAAGAAUAUUUAAUGCCCUACAGAAUUGCAGAGUUUAUUUGUAAAAAGAAGUGAAGCUUAGAGAGUAAUUAACAUCCCAUAUCACGAUUAGAAGUAAUGACCAAACUCCCUUUACGUGAAAGGCUAAAAAUAACAAUUAUUCAGUAUUUUAAAAUCAAAUUAAGAAUCCCAUUGAAAACCAUCAUCUUAUUAUGCUGUGUAAAUAAUCUUCACAAAAAAUAAUAAUAAUACUAAUAACUACGCUUCCCUGAAAAAUUAGACAAUGUGGGCUUCUAAUCAGUAAUUUCUGUUAGAACUCCAAAUCAAGGGCUUCUAAUCAGUAAUUUCGGUUAGAACUCCAAAUCAAUCAACAACAAACCAAAUGAAUAUAUAUUUGACAUCACUCACAGCAAUGCUUUUAACAGAGACUGAAAUUGAAUUACCCACUCAAUCCCUUAUUUGAACACCUAUUUGUAAACAAUUUUGCAUCGAUUUUUUGUUCACCUGCAUACAAUUUGCUUCUUUUUUUUUUUCCCCUUCCCGCUUGAUAGGCAAACAACGAGAGUAGCUAUCGCGCUACCAUAUAAUAUCCAAUCCCAAUUCCAGCGGAUUCGAACAUGUGAACUAUCAAUGAAAAUAACCCAAACCAUAACAAAUAGAAAUCAAUAAUAAUUUCUACACAAAAAUUUGAAUCCAAAUUUAGCUGACCAAAAUAAAAUCAAAUAUCAAACCGCACAAAGGAAGGUAUAAGCAGAAAGCAAUAAUGACGGGGAUAAAAAUCAGAUAAACCUAUAAAGGUAGAUGGUCUCUGAUUUGAACAUAGUUGAUUCUACAUAAAAACUGGGGAGAAUAAAUCUCGUGGCAACGAGCAUUGAAAGCCAUUGAAGAGAGGCGUUCUCGUCCUGUAACUCUGUAAGUG